rnacentral:lncRNA from 1 species
CUUGCUCAGUGUUAUUAAUCGUCGCCUCGACGGCCUCGUCUCUACAAGACUGCAACUCCAGUCACUAGACUCACACUCACACUCACACUCACACUCACACUCACUCCCACUCCCACUCCCACUCCACCAGUUCGCCUCCACUGAGUCCGCCCGUACGCCGCCGAUCGCCUCCAGGCUCCGCCGCUCCAGCAACUUGUCUAGUAUUAGUAACUUAGUUGUCUCCAUUCUUCGGUUCGUUUCUAAACUUUUUCCAUUGAUUUGAUGAAUUUUAUCAACUGAGUUACACACACACACACACA